GUGAGGAAUAUUGGGCAAUGGGGGAAACCCUGACCCAGCGACGCCGCGUGAGGGAAGACGGCCUUCGGGUUGUAAACCUCUUUUGUACGGGAAGAAGGAAGUGACGGUACUGUACGAAUAAGUCCCGGCUAACUACGUGCCAGCAGCCGCGGUAAUACGUAGGGGACGAGCGUUGUCCGGAAUUACUGGGCGUAAAGGGCGCGCAGGCUGUGCUGCAAGUCAGCUGUGAAAUGUCUGGGCUUAACCCGGGCAUGCGGUUGAGACUGCAGUGCUGGAGUGCUGUAGAGGCAAGUGGAAUUCCCAGUGUAGCGGUGAAAUGCGUAGAUAUUGGGAAGAACACCGGUGGCGAAGGCGACUUGCUGGGCAGCAACUGACGCUGAGGCGCGAAAGCCAGGGGAGCAAACGGGAUUAGAAACCCCUGUAGUCC
rnacentral:rRNA from 1 species